UUCUUAUUGAAUUAUGACAACCAUGUGUUCUCUAAUUGACCAAUGACAAUAACAAUAAAUCUCAUCUUCCAUAAAGUUGACAUCCAAUCAGAUCAUGACAUGUGACAAUCAUCAUCC
rfam:Glycine soja cultivar W05 scaffold481_32, whole genome shotgun sequence.